AGAGUUUGAUUCUGGCUCAGAACGAACGCUGGCAGCGUGGAUUAGGCAUGCAAGUCGAACGAGAAGCCCUGGUCUCAAUCUUCGGAGAGAAACCAGGGUGGACAGUGGCGGAAGGGUGAGUAACGCGUGGGCAAUUUGCCUCCGGAUUGGGGACAACUCCGCGAAAGCGGGGCUAAUACCGAAUAUGGUCUCCUGUCGCAUGACGGGAAGAUUAAAGAUGGGGAUUCUUCGGAACCUGUCGUCUGGAGAGGAGCCCGCGUACGAUCAGCUUGUUGGUGAGGUAACGGCUCACCAAGGCUUUGACCGUUAGCCGGCCUGAGAGGGUAUCGGCCACACUGGGACUGAGACACUGCCCAGACUCCUACGGGAGGCUGCAGUCGAGGAUCAUUCGCAAUGCGCGAAAGCGUGACGAUGCGACGCUGCGUGUAGGAUGACGGCCUUCGGGUUGUAAACUACUGUCAUGAGGGAAAAACCAGCGAUGGGACAAUACCCCAUCGCUCUGAUGGUACCUCAAGAGGAAGCCACGGCUAACUCUGUGCCAGCAGCCGCGGUAAUACAGAGGUGGCUAGCGUUGUUCGGAUUUACUGGGCGUAAAGCGUGCGUAGGCGGUUCCGUGUGUCGGGUGUGAAAUCCCACGGCUUACCCGUGGAAUGGCACCCGAAACUGCGGGGCUAGAGUGCAGGAGGGGAGAGCGGAAUUCUUAGUGUAGCGGUGAAAUGCGUUGAUAUUAAGAAGAACACCGGCGGCGAAGGCGGCUCUCUGGAAUGUAACUGACGCUGAGGCACGAAAGUUGGGGGAGCAAACAGGAUUAGAUACCCUGGUAGUCCCAACCGUAAACGGUGUGAACUUGGUGUAGGGGGUAUUGACCCCCCCUGUGCCGGAGCUAACGCGUUAAGUUCACCGCCUGGGGAGUACGGCCGCAAGGCUAAAACUCAAAGAAAUUGACGGGGGCCCGCACAAGCGGAGGAGCAUGUGGCUUAAUUCGAUGCAACGCGAAGAACCUUACCUGGGCUUGACAUGGGGACCCUUCGGGGGUGGUAGCGAAAGUUACCUUUACCAUCACAGGUGCUGCAUGGCUGUCGUCAGUUCGUGCCGUGAGGUGUUUGGUUAAGUCCAGCAACGAACGCAACCCUUGUGACUAGUUACCAGCGUCGGUGAUGAGCCGGCAGGCACUCUAGUCAGACUGCCCGUACAAGCGGGAGGAAGGUGGGGAUGACGUCAAGUCAGUAUGGCCCUUACGCCCAGGGCUGCACACGUGCUACAAUGGUCAGUACAGAAGGAUGCAAAACCGCAAGGUCGAGCAAAUCCCCAAAGCUGGCCCCAGUUCGGAUUGGAGUCUGCAACUCGACUCCAUGAAGUCGGAUUCGCUAGUAACGGCGUAUCAGCUACGACGCCGUGAAUACGUUCCCGGGCCUUGUACACACCGCCCGUCACAUCAUGAAAGCCGUCUGCACCCGAAGUCGCUGAGCCAACCCGCAAGGGAGGCAAGUGCCGAAGGUGUGGGUGGUGAUUGGGAUGAAGUC
rnacentral:rRNA from 1 species